GGGGUGACGAAAGAGAAGCGGAACUAAGUCCCGCCGGAAUUUUGUGUUCCCCUCGGGACGGUGUCGCGGUAACACCGGUCCACUUCCGGGUUGCGCCCGAUGUCACAAUAACAACGCUAAUGACAGAUUGAUAUCUGGUGUGGGGAGUUUGAUGUGGCGAUCUGUGAGAGGAUUAUGGAGGCGGAGUAACCACAUAAAAAGAGAAGUGCAGAGACCAUGCGGGGUGAUUCUUUUUGGUCGUUCGUUCUCCCGGCUAGUCUUCCUGGUUGGCUUGCCCCCGUGUGUGGUUCUUCUCUUUGGAUGUGUUCCCCUAGGAGAGGUGAAUUCCUGGGACGUUUGGGCUGGCGUGUGGAGGUAUUUGAGGACUAUUGUGGGGUUUCGGCUAUCUGGCUGUGCAACAGAUAUAUCAGCGAUCGAGUGGAGAUAUUCAGGACAGAAAGAGUGUGAGUUCUGGAAAGCAAGUGAAGACCAGACCGCGCCAUCGCUAUCGGAGGGAAGUUAAGAGACCUGAUCUGGGACUUCGAUGAAUUGUACACAUCUGGACUGGGAGUGAUAACGUUGUGAAGUGGACGGAGUCAUCGUUGGGUGAGUGCUGGCUCUAUUUGCACUAAGAGUGGGUGUGCCGUGUCUGAAGUGGUGUGUUUGCACAAUAAAUGGUUUGAAGUGAAGUUACAGAGUGUGGGGAAGAUAUAUAGAGUUAAUGCCGGACGCUCACCACCCCGAGAGCCCACCACCGUCACCGUAAUCCACACCCAGGCACUCAACUGAAGUAUCCCCCAGCCGUAAGCCCCAUUUCUUAUUCAAGAACACAUACAUGCUGUUGAUUACUUACCCCGCUGUGUAGAUCGCAGGAUCCUCUGGGCCGAACGCCGCAUGUGAUGUCCCUAUGAAAGGAGGUGGACACAAGAAUUAUUCCUUUCCCGGUCACAACCGAAGCAUCUCCCAGCCGUAAGCCCCAUUACUUAUGCAAGAACGCAUACUUGCUGUUGAUUACUUACUCUGCUGUGCAGAUCGCAGGAUCCUCUGGGCCGAAUGCUGCAUGUGAUGUCCCUGUAGAAAGAGGUGGACACACGAAUUAUUCCUUUCCCGGUCUUAACCGAAGCAUCUCCCAGCCGUAAGCCCCAUUACUUAUUCAAGGACACAUACUUACUGUUGAUUACUUACCCCGCUGUGCAGACCGCAGGACUCUCUGGGCCGAAUGCUGCAUGUGAUGUCCCUGUAGAAGGAGGUGGACACGAGAAUUAUUCCGUUUCCCGGUCUCGACCGAAACAUCCACGAGCUCUACUUACCCGGAUACCCCCCCCUCACUCCGGGACGGGUGACAGACUAUCUUGGCUCUUGCUGGCCCCGUACAGGCACGAACUGCCGACGACUCCACGCCUUCCCGGCGUCCGAGGUCUGGCUCCGUUCUGGUCGGGAGACACGGAAGGAACACUGAACUUUUAAAUUGCUUUUAACCAAAUAAAACCUUGUUCAUUUUUA